rnacentral:rRNA from 1 species
GGCCAAGCUAUUAAGGGCAAACGGUGGAUGCCUUGGCGUCAAGAGGCGAUGAAAGACGUGGUAAGCUGCGAUAAGCUUCGGGGAGCUGCUAAACAAGCUUUGAUCCGGAGAUUUCUGAAUGGGGAAACCCGUCUUGUGUAAUGACAGGACAUCUGUAGCUGAAUACAUAGGCUUCAGAGGCGAACGAGGUGAACUGAAACAUCUUAGUAACCUCAGGAAGAGAAAACAAAAGUGAUUUCCGUAGUAGCGGCGAGCGAACCGGAAAUAGCCCAAACCGAAUAUAUGUUAAAGCCCGAAAGCGUUGUAUAUUCGGGGUCGUGGGGGUUGAUUGGACAGAGUUUCGGAUCUGUCGGGAAGUUACAAAUCUGAUUUAUAAUUGAAGAGCCUGGAAAGGCUCACCAUAGAAGGUGACAGUCCUGUAAAUUAAAUAAAUCAGACUUCCUGGAUCAAUUCCCCAAGUACUGCGGGGCACGUGGAAUCCUGUGGGAAUUUGGGAGGACCAUCUCCUAAGGCUAAAUACUACUUGACGACCGAUAGUGAACAAGUACCGUGAGGGAAAGGUGAAAAGUACUCCGGUGAGGAGAGUGAAAUAGUACCUGAAACCGUUUGCUUACAAGCAGUGGGAGGACUAUGAAUACUGAUCAAGCUAGUCUUAUCGCUAUUCAGUCUGACCGCGUGCCUUUUGCAUAAUGAGUCAGCGAGUUACUUUACGUAGCAAGGUUAAGCCGAUAGGUGUAUCCGUAGCGAAAGCAAGUCUGAAUAGGGCGAAUUAGUUGCGUGAAGUAGACCCGAAACCAAGUGAUCUAUCCAUGGCCAGAGUGAAGCGCAAGUAAAAUUGCGUGAAGGCUCGAACCGUUGUAGGUUGAAAACUACUCGGAUGAGCUGUGGAUAGGGGUGAAAGGCCAAACAAACUUGGAAAUAGCUGGUUCUCCCCGAAAUAUAUUUAGGUAUAGCCUUGCAAAUUAAGUGAUGGGGGUAGAGCACUGGAUGGGCUAGGGGUCCUACCAGAUUACCAAACCUAACCAAACUCCGAAUACCAUCAACUUUUAUUGCAGGAGUCAGACUACGGGAGCUAAGUUCCGUGGUCGAGAGGGAAACAGCCCAGAUCGCCAGCUAAGGUCCCUAAAUAUGUGCUAAGUGGGAAAGGAUGUGGAAAUGCACAGACAACCAGGAGGUUGGCUUAGAAGCAGCCAUCCUUUAAAGAAAGCGUAAUAGCUCACUGGUCGAGUGAGUCUGCGCCGAAAAUGUAGCGGGGCUCAAGCACAUUACCGAAGCUGCGGGAUGUCUCUUUUGAGGCAUCGGUAGGGGAGCAUUCUGUCAGGCCUGAAGGUCGACUGUAAGGACGACUGGACUUGACUGAAGAGACCAUGCUGACAUGAGUAACGAUAAAGCGGGUGAAAAACCCGCUCGCCGAAAACCUAAGGUUUCCUGAGUAAAGCUAAUCUGCUCAGGGUUAGUCGAUCCCUAAGCCGAGGCCGAAAGGCGUAGGUAAUGGAAAACAGGUUAAUAUUCCUGUACCACCCGGUUAUCGAUGUUCACUUCGGUGAAUGAGAGAGAUUGGGGGGACGCAGAAGGGUAGGUCAUCCAUCUGUUGGAUUAGGUGGUUCAAGCUCGUAGGCAGAAAGGAUAGGCAAAUCCGUCCUUUUAUUUAAAUGCUGAGAAGCGAUGAGGAGAGACUUUGUCUCAUAAACUGAUUGAUCCCACACUGACAAGAAAAGCCUCUAUCGAGAUAAUUAGGUGAUCGUACCGCAAACCGACACAGGUAGGUAGGGAGAGAAUCCCAAGGCGCUUGAGAGAACCCUGGUUAAGGAACUCGGCAAAAUGACACCGUAACCUCGGGAGAAGGUGUGCCCUCGUUAGGUGAAACGUUUUACAUGUGGAGCUGAAGAGGGCCGCAGAGAAAUGGCGGUAGCGACUGUUUACUAAAAACAUAGGACUCUGCUAAGUCGCAAGACGAUGUAUAGGGUCUGACGCCUGCCCGGUGCUGGAAGGUUAAGGGGACUUGUUAUCCCGAUUCGUCGGGAGAAGCUUG